UAAAAAAAGGUAAGCUACUAAGAGCGAAUGGUGGAUGCCUUGACUGGUAAAGGCGAUGAAGGACGUACUAGACUGCGAUAAGCUAUGGGGAGCUGUCAAGAAGCUUUGAUCCGUAGAUUUCCGAAUGGGGCAACCCAAUGUAUAGAGAUAUACAUUACCUAUAUAGGAGCGAACGAGGGGAAUUGAAACAUCUUAGUACCCUCAGGAAAAGAAAUCAAUAGAGAUUGCGUCAGUAGCGGCGAGCGAAAGCGCAAGAGGGCAAACCCAGUGCUUGCACUGGGGGUUGUAGGACUGCAAUGUGCAAGAGCUGAGUUUAGCAGAACAUUCUGGAAAGUAUAGCCAUAGAGGGUGAUAGUCCCGUAUGCGAAAAACAAAGCUUAGCUAGCAGUAUCCUGAGUAGGGCGGGACACGAGGAAUCCUGUCUGAAUCCGGGUCGACCACGAUCCAACCCUAAAUACUAAUACCAGAUCGAUAGUGCACAAGUACCGUGAGGGAAAGGUGAAAAGAACUGAGGUGAUCAGAGUGAAAUAGAACCUGAAACCAUUUGCUUACAAUCAUUCAGAGCACUAUGUAGCAAUACAGUGUGAUGGACUGCCUUUUGCAUAAUGAGCCUGCGAGUUGUGGUGUCUGGCAAGGUUAAGCAAACGCGAAGCCGUAGCGAAAGCGAGUCUGAAUAGGGCGCUUAGUCAGAUGCUGCAGACCCGAAACGAAGUGAUCUAUCCAUGAGCAAGUUGAAGCUAGUGUAAGAACUAGUGGAGGACUGAACCCAUAGGCGUUGAAAAGCCCCGGGAUGACUUGUGGAUAGGGGUGAAAGGCCAAUCAAACUUCGUGAUAGCUGGUUCUCUCCGAAAUAUAUUUAGGUAUAGCGUUGUGUCGUAAUAUAAGGGGGUAGAGCACUGAAUGGGCUAGGGCAUACACCAAUGUACCAAACCCUAUCAAACUCCGAAUACCUUAUAUGUAAUCACAGCAGUCAGGCGGCGAGUGAUAAAAUCCGUCGUCAAGAGGGAAACAACCCAGACUACCAGCUAAGGUCCCUAAAUCUUACUUAAGUGGAAAACGAUGUGAAGUUACUUAAACAACCAGGAGGUUGGCUUAGAAGCAGCCAUCCUUUAAAGAAAGCGUAAUAGCUCACUGGUCUAGUGAUUUUGCGCGGAAAAUAUAACGGGGCUAAAGUAAGUACCGAAGCUGUAGACUUGCACACAACUUAGAUUAUUUAAGUUUAGAAUAUGAGAAACUAAGUUAUAUGUUUAGUUAUAUUUUUACUGAUUUUUAUAGAGUAAAGAUAGAAAUAAAACUUAGUAAAAUCAGUAAAAAUAUUCUUAGGCUAAAGUUAAGUAGUUUAAGUUGUGUGCAAGUGGUAGGAGAGCGUUCUAUUUGCGUCGAAGGUAUACCGGUAAGGAGUGCUGGAGCGAAUAGAAGUGAGCAUGCAGGCAUGAGUAGCGAUAAUUAAUGUGAGAAUCAUUAACGCCGUAAACCCAAGGUUUCCUACGCGAUGCUCGUCAUCGUAGGGUUAGUCGGGUCCUAAGUCGAGUCCGAAAGGGGUAGACGAUGGCAAAUUGGUUAAUAUUCCAAUACCAACAUUAGUGUGCGAUGGAAGGACGCUUAGGGCUAAGGGGGCUAGCGGAUGGAAGUGCUAGUCUAAGGUUGUAGGAGGUUAUACAGGCAAAUCCGUAUAACAAUACUCCGAGAACUGAAAGGCUUUUUGAAGUCUUCGGAUGGAUAGAAGAACCCCUGAUGCCGUCGAGCCAAGAAAAGUUUCUAAGUUUAGCUAAUGUUGCCCGUACCGUAAACCGACACAGGUGGGUGGGAUGAGUAUUCUAAGGCGCGUGGAAGAACUCUCUUUAAGGAACUCUGCAAAAUAGCACCGUAUCUUCGGUAUAAGGUGUGGUUAGCUUUGUAUUAGGAUUUACUCCGAAAGCAAGGAAACUUACAACAAAGAGUCCCUCCCGACUGUUUACCAAAAACACAGCACUCUGCUAACUCGUAAGAGGAUGUAUAGGGUGUGACGCCUGCCCGGUGCUCGAAGGUUAAUUGAUGGGGUUAGCAUUAGCGAAGCUCUUGAUCGAAGCCCGAGUAAACGGCGGCCGUAACUAUAACGGUCCUAAGGUAGCGAAAUUCCUUGUCGGUUAAAUACCGACCUGCAUGAAUGGCGUAACGAGAUGGGAGCUGUCUCAAAGAGGGAUCCAGUGAAAUUGUAGUGGAGGUGAAAAUUCCUCCUACCCGCGGCAAGACGGAAAGACCCCGUGGACCUUUACUACAGCUUGACACUGCUACUUGGAUAAGAAUGUGCAGGAUAGGUGGGAGGCUUUGAGUAUAUGACGCCAGUUGUAUAUGAGCCAUUGUUGAGAUACCACUCUUUCUUAUUUGGGUAGCUAACCAGCUUGAGUUAUCCUCAAGUGGGACAAUGUCUGGUGGGUAGUUUGACUGGGGCGGUCGCCUCCCAAAUAAUAACGGAGGCUUACAAAGGUUGGCUCAGAACGGUUGGAAAUCGUUCGUAGAGUAUAAAGGUAUAAGCCAGCUUAACUGCAAGACAUACAAGUCAAGCAGAGACGAAAGUCGGUCUUAGUGAUCCGGUGGUUCUGUGUGGAAGGGCCAUCGCUCAAAGGAUAAAAGGUACCCCGGGGAUAACAGGCUGAUCUCCCCCAAGAGCUCACAUCGACGGGGAGGUUUGGCACCUCGAUGUCGGCUCAUCGCAUCCUGGGGCUGGAGCAGGUCCCAAGGGUAUGGCUGUUCGCCAUUUAAAGCGGUACGCGAGCUGGGUUCAGAACGUCGUGAGACAGUUCGGUCCCUAUCUGCCGUGGGCGUAAGAAGAUUGAAGAGAUUUGACCCUAGUACGAGAGGACCGGGUUGAACAAACCACUGGUGUAGCUGUUGUUCUGCCAAGAGCAUCGCAGCGUAGCUAAGUUUGGAAAGGAUAAACGCUGAAAGCAUCUAAGCGUGAAGCCAACUCUAAGAUGAAUCUUCUCUAAGCUCUCUAGAAGACUACUAGUUUGAUAGGCUGGGUGUGUAAUGGAUGAAAGUCCUUUAGCUGACCAGUACUAAUAGAGCGUUUGGCUUAUCUUUAAUAAAGCAU
rnacentral:rRNA from 1 species